rnacentral:sRNA from 1 species
GGGUGCGCAGGGGCGGAGCGGGGGCCGCCCCGCGCUGAUCCCUCCGGCGCCCAGGCCUUCCUCCUGGCCUUCUCGUCCGACUUCCUGCCGCGCGCCUACUACCGGUGGACCCGCGCCCACGACCUGCGCGGCUUCCUCAACUUCACGCUGGCGCGCGCCCCGCCCUCCUUCGCCGCCGCGCACAACCGCACGUGCAGGUAUCGGGCUUUCCGGGAUGAUGAUGGACAUUAUUCCCAGACCUACUGGAAUCUUCUUGCCAUCCGCCUGGCCUUCGUCAUUGUGUUUGAGGUAGCUGAGGCACCUGCUGCUUCUCCCAUCCAUGGCAUGACGCCCCGACCCUGUGCUUUGCCUAAUUCGAGCACGUGGUGAGGGAUUGGUGCCGUCACUUCCUGCUGUGUCAUCUUGGUCAAAUCAGAGCUCUUCUCUGCACCUGCGUUUUCCCUGGCCUCAUCCUUGGGUUGUGGUGUGGACACUGUGGGUGUCUCCACAGGAGCCCCAGGGCCACGAAAGCUGGGGUGGCCUCUGCCCCUUCUGGGGUUCCUUUUCCUGCACAGCUGCUUUCUGGCUCCACCCACAGCUGGGAGCAGGUGCCGGAGCCCCGGCCUGCCUGGCCCUGUGAAGGCCACUCUGGGCAUUUGGGUGGGGGUGAGUGCCUUCCUCUGCUCCCAGCAUGUGGUUUUCUCCGUCGGCCGCCUCCUGGACCUCCUGGUACCUGACAUCCCAGAGUCUGUGGAGAUCAAAGUGAAGCGGGAGUACUACCUGGCUAAGCAGGCGCUGGCCGAGAAUGAGGUGAACUGCACAGCCCAGUCUUGGCCCUCCCCCCAGCCUUCUCCCUAUCCUUGUCAGUGGCUGCUGUAUCUCCGGACACCGAGUCACAUCCUCUUCCUCUUGCUGCCCUUUUUUGGGGACAGGCUCUUUUUGGAACGAACGGAGCAAAGGAUGAGCAGCCCCAGGGCUCAGAGGCAAGUCUGGGAGCAGCCAGGCCCCUGCCCCGUGCACUCCCUGAGGUCACAGGGCCCUGCCCAGCCGCCCACUCUGCCUCGUGGCCAUGGCCUACUCCUGGCCCUAGUCUGACUUGUCCCUGCCUCCAACCCUCUCUCCAGCUCAGCUCCCACUGGACACCCUUCACGGUUCCCAAGGCCAGCCAGCUGCAGCAGUGACGCCUGGAAGGACAUCUGGUGGUCCUUAGGGGAGUGGCCCCUGCUGAGCCCUUCGAGCAGCAUCCUUUUCGUCUUCCCUCAGGCAGUGGCUGUGUGAACCGCUGGCUGCUGUUGUACCUCAUCUCUGGGCACAUUGCCUGCUUCCCUCCAGCGCUGGCUUCUCUCCUCAGAGCGCCUGUCACUCCAUCCCCGGCAGGGAGGGACCGUCAGCUCACAAGGCCCUCUUUGUUUCCUGCUCCCAGACAUAAGCCCAAGGGGCCCCUGCACCCAAGGGACCCUGUCCCUCGGUGGCCUCCCCAGGCCCCUGGAUGCGACAGUUCUGAUCAGACAGGUGGGCUUUGUGGUCCUUGCCACCCCGGCCACAUCACCCUCUCCUCUUAUACCUGGUGACCUUAGAAUGUUGCAGAGCGCAGGGCUGUUCUCCCUCGUGUCCUCUGGACCCACCCGCCUCUUCCUGCCCUGUCCGCGCAGGGACAUCACCCAUAUGCCCCAGCUCUCGGACCCUGCAGCUCUGUGUCCCAGGCCACAGCAAAAGUCUGUUCAACCCCUCCCUCCAUUCCCAGUUAUCUGGGUCCUCUGGAUUCUUCUGUUUCUUGAAUCAGGCUCUGCUUUCCCCCUAGCCACUACAGGCAGCCUCUGACAGUGUCGCUUUAAUUGCAUUCUGCAGCAAUUACAUGUGUCCUUUUGAUCCUUGCUCAACUUCCCUCCCUCUCCCAGCUCCUGGCCCCUGGCCCAGGGCCCCUCUUGCUGUUUUUACCUCUGUUCCUUGGGGCCUAGUACACAGCAAGCACCCAAAUGGGGGAGAUUUUGGGAUGAGAGGAGGAAACGUGUAUACCUGUAACAUCUGGUGGCUCUUCCCCCAGAAGUUUGUGUUUACACAUAAUUGUUUUCCACGCUGGAUCAUAAUGUGACGUGCAGUUUCGCCCUGUGCUGAGGAGCCACGUGAACCUUCCCCUGGCUAACUGUUGCUACCCCGCAACAUUCCCAGUGUAGCCGUCCACUUGCUAAAAAAUGGAUCUGUGCUCAUCUGUA